CACCACCAAGCGCGCGCGCGCGCGCACACACACACACACACACACAAACACAAACACACAGGCAAACACAAGGAUCAGUGCCCUCAUGCUGUGUGAAUAACAAGUACACAACAGAUUGCAAAAGUGCUCUUUCUCCCUGGAUAAGCUUUUUGUCUAUUUUCUCUCUUUCCCUCUAUAUGAACUUAACAUACUCUAAUCAGUUCUUGACAGCCAUACACAGCUAAUUUGGUCCUACCUGUCUUUUGCUGCUAUGUAUGGUGUUUCUCAUUUAGGAAUUGCAGACAAUUUAUGCACAGUAACUCAAAUUUCAAGGGCACAUUUGACGGUGGCGAAUGUUGGAUGAUUUGGCGGCAGUCAAGUCAAUCUGAACCGCACGCCCGUGUUCGGAGUUGCUGGAGGUGGUUGUGACCACUCCUUCAGCGGCGCAGCCCUCCCUGUUGCGGAUCUACCACACUUUGCUGAUCUGUGAAACAUCGGGUCUAAUCCACUGCUGUGCAGACUUUGACGGGAUUUGUACUGUUAUGAAAACGGAGCCCGUCAUUUUUAAGACAUACUGAGUCACCAAAUGUUCAAAUUUCCAUUGGCCCUUGCGGGUUAUGUUUUGCGUUACAGGGGGAGGAAGCAGGCGUGAAACAUGGCCCUCUUAUCUGCAAAGGAGCUGGAUGCUGGAGAAGAUAGGAGCGGGGAGAAAAGAACGAAGCUGUGAAACCGCAGCCAUCAAAGUGCAGAGGAAGAGAAAGAGUAGCAAAGCAGCUGUGCGCUGGUUUUGCCGGCGGCACCCACGGGAUGGCAAUCGCAUGCUGUGAGGAACACAGGAAGAAAAGGAAAGGCACAGCAGAGACAGAGCGGAAGGUUUGUCUUCAUGGCUUGUUUGGAGGAAGAAACAAGCCGAAAUAUGCUCCAGAAUAAGUCUGCCUUGCCUGACAUGAAGAAGCCUCCUCGCUAAACAACAUGGUCAAAGAGUUGAGAAAGCAGAGAGUGCGACAGACAGCCAUCAAAUUCUCCGGUGCCCUGGGGCCGUGUAAAACACAACACCCUUGGGAUAACAAAACGCCCAGCAUGAUGAAGAGAGAAGAACCAAAUUCCCAAACAAGUGCUUGGAGGCUCGUGUCAACACAUCACUGUCAACGAAUAUAGAACCCAUCACCUCGCAGCCAAACUAUGGCAACUCAUGAAAACUAUUCGCAGAAAUUCCGAACACUGCGCAACGCCACGGAAUAGUUGUGUGGAAUUGACAUCGAAGCACAAAAGAACACAAAACAUCUCCGUGCGUCAACGGCGGCUCUUGUCUGAACUUCCACGCCAAGCUUUCCACAGAGGCCUGUCUGAGGUCUGUCACUGUCGACCUGUUUUAUUUACUCGCUUCCUGUCGAGUGAUAUGGGAAAACGUGGGCUUAAGCUGUCGGUGCGCGGCUGAUAUUUCCACGCGGGCCUGUCCCUCGGGUGCGUGAGCCUCAGUUUUUGGAGCGCUUGGCUUGUUUGCGCAGGGAUUAUGCUGCUGUUAUUUUUACCUGCAGCUACAGGAAAGGUGCGAAAACUCACUUUGACCUUUAUUAGCUUGGCUGAGGGUUAGAAGGCAUUAGGUGGCGAGCGCACCUGCGCGGGGGCGUGUUCACGCCACCUCCGCCGCCUUCCAUUCCUUCCUAUCUUUCACCCUCACGACUGACCUCCCGCUUGCUAUGCCGAUCACUUCACACCUCGCCUCUGUUUGCUUUGGUUGUCCUGUCAUCCCCUCACCUUCCCUCGAAUUAAGCCAAAUAACUCAGUGUCAAAAGAGGGAACACCCACUCCACCGCCCUCGCUCCGCCAUCCCCGCAGACCUCCAACUCAUCUCCGCUGACAGAGGAAGAUGGGGGCGAGACAAGGCUCAGGAAUGUUGCGACGCCGCGCUUCCUCCCCCAUUUCCUGUCAUUAAUCUACAACUCCAGAGCAGUGGUCCCCAAACGGCCGAUCGCGGACCGGCACCGGUCCGUCAGACAUGUGGUACAGAGCCAGGUUGUCAUAAUUUGGAAUUUUCCAAUAUAGUUAGUUUUCAUUUUUGUUUUGAUUUAGUUUUUCCU